rnacentral:rRNA from 1 species
AGUGAACGCUGGCGGUAGGCCUAACACAUGCAAGUCGAACGGCAGCACAGUAAGAGCUUGCUCUUACGGGUGGCGAGUGGCGGACGGGUGAGGAAUACAUCGGAAUCUACUUUUUCGUGGGGGAUAACGUAGGGAAACUUACUCUAAUACCGCAUACGACCUACGGGUGAAAGCAGGGGAUCUUCGGACCUUGCGCGAUUGAAUGAGCCGAUGUGGGAUUAGCUAGUUGGCGGGGUAAAGGCCCACCAAGGCGACGAUCCGUAGCUGGUCUGAGAGGAUGAUCAGCGACACUGGAACUGGGACACGGUCAAGACUCCUAAGGGAGGCAGCAGUGGGGAAUAUUGGACAAUGGGCGCGAGCCUGAUCCAGCCAUACCGAGUGGGUGAAGAAGGCCUUCGGGUUGUAAAGCCCUUUUGUUGGGAAAGAAAAGCAGCAGGUUAAUACCCCGCUGUUCUGACGGUACCCAAAGAAUAAGCACCGGCUAACUUCGUG